rnacentral:rRNA from 1 species
AGAGUUUGAUCCUGGCUCAGGACGAACGCUGGCGGCGUGCCUAAUACAUGCAAGUCGAGCGGACAGAUGGGAGCUUGCUCCCUGAUGUUAGCGGCGGACGGGUGAGUAACACGUGGGUAACCUGCCUGUAAGACUGGGAUAACUCCGGGAAACCGGGGCUAAUACCGGAUGGUUGUUUGAACCGCAUGGUUCAAACAUAAAAGGUGGCUUCGGCUACCACUUACAGAUGGACCCGCGGCGCAUUAGCUAGUUGGUGAGGUAAUGGCUCACCAAGGCAACGAUGCGUAGCCGACCUGAGAGGGUGAUCGGCCACACUGGGGCUGAGACACGGCCCAGACUCCUACGGGAGGCAGCAGUAGGGAUCUUCCGCAAUGGACGAAAGUCUGACGGAGCAACGCCGCGUGAGUGAUGAAGGUUUUCGGAUCGUAAAGCUCUGUUGUUAGGGAAGAACAAGUACCGUUCGAAUAGGGCGGUACCUUGACGGUACCUAACCAGAAAGCCACGGCUAACUACGUGCCGGCAGCCGCGGUAAUACGUAGGUGGCAAGCGUUGUCCGGAAUUAUUGGGCGUAAAGGGCUCGCAGGCGGUUUCUUAAGUCUGAUGUGAAAGCCCCCGGCUCAACCGGGGAGGGUCAUUGGAAACUGGGGAACUUGAGUGCAGAAGAGGAGAGUGGAAUUCCACGUGUAGCGGUGAAAUGCGUAGAGAUGUGGAGGAACACCAGUGGCGAAGGCGACUCUCUGGUCCGUAACUGACGCUGAGGAGCGAAAGCGUGGGGAGCGAACAGGAUUAGAUACCCUGGUAGUCCACGCCGUAAACGAUGAGUGCUAAGUGUUAGGGGGUUUCCGCCCCUUAGUGCUGCAGCUAACGCAUUAAGCACUCCGCCUGGGGAGUACGGUCGCAAGACUGAAACUCGAAGGAAUUGACGGGGGCCCGCACAAGCGGUGGAGCAUGUGGUUUAAUUCGAAGCAACGCGAAGAACCUUACCAGGUCUUGACAUCCUCUGACAAUCCUAGAGAUAGGACGUCCCCUUCGGGGGCAGAGUGACAGGUGGUGCAUGGUUGUCGUCAGCUCGUGUCGUGAGAUGUUGGGUUAAGUCCCGCAACGAGCGCAACCCUUGAUCUUAGUUGCCAGCAUUCAGUUGGGCACUCUAAGGUGACUGCCGGUGACAAACCGGAGGAAGGUGGAGAUAACGUCAAAUCAUCAUGCCCCUUAUGACCUGGGCUACACACGUGCUACAAUGGACAGAACAAAGGGCAGCGAAACCGCGAGGUUAAGCCAAUCCCACAAAUCUGUUCUCAGUUCGGAUCGCAGUCUGCAACUCGACUGCGUGAAGCUGGAAUCGCUAGUAAUCGCGGAUCAGCAUGCCGCGGUGAAUACGUUCCCGGGCCUUGUACGCACCGCCCGUCACACCACGAGAGUUUGUAACACCCGAAGUCGGUGAGGUAACCUUUUAGGAGCCAGCCGCCGAAGGUGGGACAGAUGAUUGGGGUGAAGUCGUAACAAGGUA